GAUGAAGAACGUAGCGAAAUGCGAUAAGUAAUGUGAAUUGCAGAAUUCAGUGAAUCAUCGAAUCUUUGAACGCACAUUGCGCCCGCUAGUAUUCUGGCGGGCAUGCCUGUCCGAGCGUCAUUUCAACCCUCAAGCCCCCGGGCUUGGUGUUGGGGAUCGGCGAGCCUCCGCGCCCGCCGUCCCCUAAAUCUAGUGGCGGUCUCGCUGUAGCUUCCUCUGCGUAGUAGCACACCUCGCACUGGGAAACAGCGCGGCCACGCCGUUAAACCCCCAACUCUGUGGUUGACCUCGGAUCAGGUAGGGAUACCCGCUGAACUUAAGCAUAUCAAUAAGCGGAGGA
rnacentral:misc_RNA from 1 species